GACCAGCGCCCGAAGGCCGACACCCUGGCCCUGAGGCAACGGCUCAUCAGCUCUUCCUGCAGACUCUUUUUUCCCGAGGAUCCUGUUAAGAUUGUCCGGGCCCAAGGGCAGUACAUGUACGAUGAACAGGGGGCAGAAUACAUCGAUUGCAUCAGCAAUGUGGCGCACGUUGGGCACUGCCACCCUCUCGUGGUCCGAGCAGCACAUGAACAGAACCAGGUGCUCAACACCAACAGCCGGUACCUGCAUGACAACAUCGUGGACUAUGCGCAGAGGCUGUCAGAGACCCUGCCGGAGCAGCUCUGUGUGUUCUAUUUCCUGAAUUCUGGAGAGGGUCCCACCCCAUAUCCUGGUAGAAGGAAUCCUGCUGUCAUGAAGCUUCCGUAAAAACCAAGGGGACUGGAUUUAGAGAGCUUCCAGAUAACUGAACAUACAGAGGUUCUAGAAGGGUGGUGCGCCCAGGGAGGGCACAGGAGGCUCCAUGCCCUUCCUUCAUACCUCACCCUAUGCAUCUCUUUAUCUGUAUCUUUUGUCAUAUCCUUUAUAAUAAACCAGUAAAUGU
rnacentral:sRNA from 1 species